UUAUAUAAAUAGGCUUGAAGAGUGAUCUGAAUUAAGUGAGAGUAUAUAGCUCAGUAGAUCUUAGCCAUUUCAGAAGUGCUUGAAAGAGGAGCAAAAAAGGAUGAACAUAAUAUACCUUCACUUACAAAUACUUUUACAUACUCACAUAUAUCCCUGUAGUCUUUUUUGAGAGCAAAUAUAGGCUGAUGAUUUGCUAUGUAAACAUUUACAGGAUCUACUAAAAUAGAUUACCACUUAUUUAAUGAAAAUAUCUAAGUUUCACUCAUUCAU
rnacentral:lncRNA from 1 species